rnacentral:ncRNA from 15 species
UUAUGAUGACUCUAGAUGACGAGUCCUAUACGGGAUUCCCGAUGCGGACAACCUAUUUUUUAUACCAUUCAUGCCUAUCUGAAA